rnacentral:rRNA from 1 species
UACCGUGAACUGCGAAUGGCUCAUUAAAUCAGUUAUCGUUUAUUUGAUAGUACCUUACUACUUGGAUAACCGUGGUAAUUCUAGAGCUAAUACAUGCUAAAAACCCCGACUUCGGAAGGGGUGUAUUUAUUAGAUAAAAAACCAAUGCCCUUCGGGGCUCUUUGGUGAUUCAUAAUAACUUAACGGAUCGCAUGGCCUUGCGCCGGCGACGGUUCAUUCAAAUUUCUGCCCUAUCAACUUUCGAUGGUAAGGUAUUGGCUUACCAUGGUUUCAACGGGUAACGGGGAAUUAGGGUUCGAUUCCGGAGAGGGAGCCUGAGAAACGGCUACCACAUCCAAGGAAGGCAGCAGGCGCGCAAAUUACCCAAUCCCGACACGGGGAGGUAGUGACAAUAAAUACUGAUACAGGGCUCUUUUGGGUCUUGUAAUUGGAAUGAGUACAAUUUAAACCCCUUAACGAGGAACAAUUGGAGGGCAAGUCUGGUGCCAGCAGCCGCGGUAAUUCCAGCUCCAAUAGCGUAUAUAAAGUUGUUGCAGUUAAAAAGCUCGUAGUUGAAACUUGGGCCUGGCUGGCUGGUCCGCCUCACCGCGUGUACUGGUUCGGCCGGGCCUUUCCUUCUGGAGAGCCUCAUGCCCUUCACUGGGUGUGUUGGGGAACCAGGACUUUUACUUUGAAAAAAUUAGAGUGUUCAAAGCAGGCCUUUGCUCGAAUACGUUAGCAUGGAAUAAUAGAAUAGGACGUGCGAUCCUAUUUUGUUGGUUUCUAGGACCGCCGUAAUGAUUAAUAGGGAUAGUCGGGGGCAUC